rnacentral:rRNA from 1 species
CUGGCCUACGGGGCGCAGCAGUGAGGAAUAUUGGUCAAUGGACGAGAGUCUGAACCAGCCAAGUCGCGUGAGGGAAGACUGCCCUAUGGGUUGUAAACCUCUUUUAUAAGGGAAGAAUAAUGACUACGUGUAGUCAGAUGCCCGUACCUUAUGAAUAAGCAUCGGCUAACUCCGUGCCAGCAGCCGCGGUAAUACGGAGGAUGCGAGCGUUAUCCGGAUUUAUUGGGUUUAAAGGGUGCGUAGGCGGUAUUUUAAGUUAGUGGUAAAACGUCGGGGCUUCACCUUGAUUGGCCAUUAAAACUGGG